AGGAUAAUUAUGAUCUGAGUGUGCAUCGUGGUCCGGACGACCGCCAUGGGUCUUCCGGAGUGAUGCCAUGCUUCAUGCCUAAAGCCGAGAAUCGACCCCGGCCUGCCAAUCCUGAAGACAUUGGCAAAUUUAUUGAUGAUAACCUGACGGCAGCAGACCGCGACCCGCUGGCGCCCCCCUCACACUGUUGAUCUAUCCUGGGUUUUCUUUUCAAUUCUUAUUUGCUGGCACUGAUUUAUAUUUGUAAAUUGAUGAAAAUUUUAUUUUUUUCUUUUAAGUUGGCUUUAACAUUUUAUAUUGAAGCUUGUACUUUUUUCAUUUUUCAAGUAAUGACAUCAAUGAUGUUCUGUAAGAACUGUUUUUUUAAAGCUUUUUUUAAAAUUGCUAAUUCCUUAUUUCCUAGGAUGUAUUUCAACUAGGUAGAUAGGAUGACGAAAGUAAAGGGGAACUUACGGGGAACGUUUUGAAUACAUUUACUUGCAAAGUUUGUUGGUGAAAUAAAAAAAGAUUAUACUAAUCUGA